rnacentral:rRNA from 1 species
UAAAGGAGAAGAAUCCAGACCAUCAGCUAAGGUCCCCAAAUAAACACUAAGUUGAACUAACGAAGUCAGAUUGCUAAGACAGCUAGGAUGUUGGCUUGGAAGCAGCCAUUCAUUUAAAGAGUGCGUAACAGCUCACUAGUCGAGGAGUUUGGCGUGGAUAAUAAUCGGGCAUAAGUGUUUUACCGAAGCUAUGGGAUACGUAAGUAUCGGUAGGGGAGCAUUCCACUCAGCGUUGAAGGCGAAGCGUGAGCUUACUGGAGCGUGUGGAAAAGCAAAUGUAGGUAUAAGUAACGAUAAAGGGGGUGAGAAACCCCCUCGCCGCAAGACUAAGGUUUCCUGAUCAACGCUAAUCGGAUCAGGGUUAGUCGGGUCCUAAGGCUCAGCCGAACGGUGAGGCCGAUGGCAGAACAGGUUAAUAUUCCUGUACUACCUAUAGGAGUGAUGUGGAGACGGAGGAGUGACAACGCCGCGGACUGACGGAAUAGUCCGUUAAAGGGUGUAGAUGUUGAUUAUCCCAGGCAAAUCCGGGAUAAGAGUCGAACCUGA